UACGUAGGGUGCGAGCGUUGUCCGGAUUUAUUGGGCGUAAAGGGCUCGUAGGCGGCGUGUCGCGUCGGGAGUGAAAGCCCGUUGCUUAACGGCGGGUUGGCUUUCGGUACGGGCAUGCUGGAGUGCGGCAGGGGAGACUGGAAUUCCUGGUGUAGCGGUGGAAUGCGCAGAUAUCAGGAGGAACACCGGUGGCGAAGGCGGGUCUCUGGGCCAAAACUGACGCUGAGGAGCGAAAGCGUGGGGAGCGAACAGG
rnacentral:rRNA from 1 species